rnacentral:tRNA from 1 species
GCCCCGGUAGCUCAGUCGGAUAGAGCGAUCGCCUCCUAAGCGAUAGGUCGCAGGUUCGAAUCCUGCCCGGGGCACCA